GGGCACCGCGGUGUCCACAAGUACAACUGCAAGCCGGAGUUAGCUGCAUUCCCCAUCGCUGCCAUCACUGAUAUGAUCGAAAAACCCGACGCCAUUAACAAGUUGAGAAGGGAGAUGCUCUCGGAGAAGACUAACGCUGUGGCUAGUGGCGCCCCCCAUUGCUGUGUGUGCGCGGACACGAACGACAUGUGCGCCCUCUCUCGUUACGGCGGACUUCUGUUGUGUGAACAGUGCAUCCGAUUCCAAACCAUGUAGUAAUUCAGCUAGUUAGGAUAAUAAAGCAUGUAUAGCUAGGGGAAUAAAGCAUGUAGCUAGGAGAAUAAAGCAUGUAGCUAUAGUCCAUGUAGCUAGGAGAAUAAAGCAUGUAGCUAUAGUCCAUGUAGCUAGGAGAAUAAAGCAUGUAGCUAUAGUCCAUGUAGCUAGGGGAAUAAAGCAUGUAGCUAUAGUCCAUGUAGCUAGGAUAAUAAAGCAUGUAGCUAUAGUCCAUGUAGCUAGGAGAAUAAAGCAUGUAGCUAUAGUCCAUGUAGCUAGGAUAAUAAAGCAUGUAGCUAUAGUCCAUGUAGCUAGGAGAAUAAAGCAUGUAGCUAUAGUCCAUGUAGCUAGGAGAAUAAAGCAUGUAGCUAUAGUCCAUGUAGCUAGGA